UACGUAGGUGGCGAGCGUUGUCCGGAUUUACUGGGCGUAAAGGGAGCGUAGGCGGACUUUUAAGUGAGAUGUGAAAUACCCGGGCUUAACUUGGGUGCUGCAUUUCAAACUGGAAGUCUAGAGUGCAGGAGAGGAGAAUGGAAUUCCUAGUGUAGCGGUGAAAUGCGUAGAGAUCGGGAGGAACACCUGUGGCGAAGGCGGCCAGCUGGGAUACACCUGACGCUGAGAUGCGAAGGCGUGGGGAGCGAACGGGAUUAGAUACCCCCGUAGU
rnacentral:rRNA from 1 species